rnacentral:rRNA from 1 species
GGCUACGACCAUAUCACCCUGAAUGCGCCCGAUCUCGUCUGAUCUCGGAAGCAAAGCAUGGUCGAGCCUGGUUAGUACUUGGAUGGCUUUCUGCCUGGGAAUACCAGGUGUUGUAGGCU